CAGGCCUAACACAUGCAAGUCGAGCGGACUUGAUGGAGUGCUUGCACUCCUGAUGGUUAGCGGCGGACGGGUGAGUAACACGUAGGCAACCUGCCUGUAAGACUGGGAUAACUACCGGAAACGGUAGCUAAUACCGGAUACGCAAGUUUAUCGCAUGGUGGACUUGGGAAAGACGGAGCAAUCUGUCACUUACGGAUGGGCCUUCGGCGCAUUAGCUAGUUGGUGGGGUAACGGGCUCACCAAGGCGACGAUGCGUAGCCGACCUGAGAGGGUGAACGGCCACACUGGGACUGAGACACGGCCCAGACUCCUACGGGAGGCAGCAGUAGGGAAUCUUCCGCAAUGGACGAAAGUCUGACGGAGCAACCCCCGCGUGAGUGAUGAAGGUUUUCGGAUCGUAAAGAUCUGUUGCCAGGGAAGAACG
rnacentral:rRNA from 1 species